AUUCCCGAAGUCGCGGUAUUAGCUAGGGAAUUCCCGAAGUCGCGGUAUUGGCUAGGGAAUUCCCUAGCCGCAGGGUAAACCGUUGGAUUCCCCAAGUCUCAUAGUGCGAAUAGUCUUCAUUCCUCUUCCGUAUAAACGUCUUGAAUCUCUUGAAUUCCCAGAACACAAAUUUGGCAAGUUCCCCCCUCUUUCUAUAUAUGUUCCCCACGCAGUCCUCGAUGGUAAUAUGGGAAAAGGAAAUUUCGAAAUCUCAUCGAAAUCUCCUUCAGUUUCUCAACAUAUCCAUAUUCUGACCUCAUAUUUUCAUGAAAUGAGAUGUACGGCACACGCAUUGCCAUCAAGGUUCAUCGAAAUAAUUAUUUUCGUAGUCUGGACUGAUCCACAUCGAUCUCAUGUUAUUCUUGUCGGAUGUAUCUAUUAUCUUGCAGUAUUAUAAAUAAUCGGUAUCCUGUAUUUCUUUUUUAUACUUUCUACCAAGGAACACAUUUUUGUACGAGUAAAUUUUUUACAAUGCGAAACGAGUGACAAUAGUCGACCCUUUCGUGCGGAGAUUGUUUAUUAAAUAACGUGAUUAACAAUUAUUUUAUUAAGGGUAAUCACGAAUAAUAGCGUUUCUCGAUGUUGUACUAUUCAUUGUACAAUCAAAAUGGAGUUAUUCAAUAAUAAAUACAGUGAACAUCGAUAUAUUUAGUUAGAAUAAAGGUUAUGUUACAUUAGAUUAAAUUGCCAUCAACAGAUGGCGCUGUCAUGCUUUCACAAACUCAUCGAAACGAAACUUAACAACAGACACUUUCAACCAAAAAAAGAGAAACCAAAUUAUUCCUGAAUACCUCUAAUACGAUAACAAAUGAAUCGAAUAGAAAUUUAAAAAAUGUUUCGUCAACGCGUGAAAGGAUUGAAAUAAUGUUUACAAUUCGACAAAUUCUGCUUGGCGUUCACGUGACCAUUUAUACGAAUCGGUGGCUCACAGCAGUCCCCCACAAUCCUGUACAUACAAUCAGCGCUUAGAUCAUUUAAUCCCAAAACGCGUAAUAUCAAUGUCGAUCACUGUCACACGAAGAAAAAUUACACGACGGAGCGAGACUAAGCUUACAGUUACAAAAUGGAGCCUGCGAGGUUCCCCGUUAGCGGAAACGGUGCAAGUGAGUAGCCACGAGUAACUUUGUUGUAUCAUACACUAGGAAAUUCCCCAAGCCACGGUAUUGGCUAGGGAAUUCCCCGAGCUACUGCGUAGACUGUGGGAUUCCCCGAGUCGUCGCAUUUACUAGGGAAUUCUUCGAGCCACAGUAUUGACUAGGGAAUUCUGGCUGGUGGGAUCUGUUGCGCGUCGAUUACACCGAGCUUAAUUUCAAUCGUUUAUUCUGUAUCAUAACGUUUGUUCGCGAACAAAUAUAACGGUUUAGAUUAGCCUACGAAAACGUAGAUUUCAAGUGAAAAAGGAACAUCGACUGAUCUCGCUGUCGUCGAGUCUGACGAUUUCUGAUGGAAAUAGGAGGAAACAAUUUGACACGCAACCGAUGCCCCCCCUCCCCCCUCCCCGGACAUACUUUUACCGUACACGUUAAGCUUGAACGAGUGAAAACUUAUGUAACGGGUGUGCAAAUCGUAAUUCGGUUAGAGUUCGACCACGAACGAGAAUGCGUGAGUGUGUAGCGGAGAGAAAGGAACGACGCGUAGGCCAGAGAAUUGAAGAUUCCAAGUCUAUUAAAAAUAUAUUUACAGAUCUGAAUAGAGGGAAGAGGAGUGGGGGGGGGGGAGUGGAUGGAGCGGAUCAAGAUGAAGAAAAAUAGCGACAGAGAGGGAAAGACACGGUCGGGAGAUCGAGAAGGGAACGGGCAAGGUAUACAUAGUAGUUAUAGAAGGGGAAGUGUGACUAAGAGGGAACGAGGGCGACAGUAUGGCAGGAGAGGGGGGGUUGAAGUGAGGGUGGGGAGAGGAUAUAGAAACAGUGAUACGAGCAAAACAAUGGAUGAAUGUGUGUUCUUAUCAGUAUUUACGCGAAAGUUCGAGUGGAGGCACUCGAUGAAAGCAUCGGUCGAUACUCGAACUCGAAGUAGGAGGCGAUCCAGAGGACGAGUGUGACUUGGCGAAAAGAGCGAAAGAGAUUAUAUAUAUAUAUACAUACGACAAGAAAAAAAAAAUAUAUAUAUAUAUAAAUUAUACAUAUAAAAGUGAAGGAGAAGAAAAACAACUAUCAUUGAUCGCUAUAUCAAGCAAGUAGGUAUAUACAGGGUGUCCCAAAAAUGUUGUAACAGCUUGAAAGGGGUGGUUCAGGAGGUGAUUUGAAACAACUUUUUCCUUAGCGAAAAUGUUGUUCGAGGCUUCGUUGAGGAGAUAUUAACGGAAAACACUGACCAAUCAGAGCGCGAGGCGGCCGCGCUCUCCGAUCAAUCAGAGCACGAAUAUGCCAGUGAAGCGCGGCCGCCUAGCGCGUAGCUCAAGCUACCGCGGGCGCUCUGAUUGGUCGGGGAGCUCGACCGCCUCGCGCUCUGAUUGGUCGAGGUUUUCCGUUAAUAUCUCUUCAAUGAAACCUCUGACAACAUUUUCGCCAAGGAAAAAGUUGUUUCAAAUCACUUCCCGAACCACCUUUUUCAAUGACCUCCAACAUUUUUGGGACACCCUGUAUAUAUUAUAUCGAAAAAAAAAUAUAUAUAUAUAUAUAUAUAUAGUAGCGUGACGAUAUAAUUAUUACUAUUUGUAAAUGCCGCGUCGCGGUGCGCUCAUACUAAAGACGCCCACUGACCGCUUAUGCGAACCAGAGAAUCAACUGUAAAUCAUCGAGAAGAUAGUGUGAGAGAGAGAGAGAGAGAGAGAGAGAGAGAGGGAGGGAGGUUAAGUAUCGGGGAUCGAAAUGAAUGAAAUUGUGUGUUUUUUGUGCGACAGUGUCAAUUGUAAAUGUGUUCGGCUUCUACGACGUUGCCUAGGGACUUUUUCGCGGUCUUGUUCUCAUAUCAAACCGAAAAUCCCAAAGAUACAUCGCCUAGGGACUUUUCUCGUGGUCUUGCUUAACAUAUCACACCUGGGAAGAUGUACCAUCUAGGGAGUUUUUGUGUGUGUAGAUAUGUCACUAGACAAACAGUACGAGCAAUUAAGGAAAAGAUUAACUUUUAACGCGUUAUUCGGCAAACGAAGACCAGAAUUUGAAUCGUAGAAUGAAAUAUUUUAAAAUAGACAGGCGAACAAUUUAAUCGUCCGCCAUACAUUGAUCUUAUUCGUCAUCCGGAGUGAAAUUGGUAGCACUGUAUGAAAACUGAAUCAAUAGAAAUUGGUAUCUUGUUACUCUUAAACAUACCUAGGACAAAAACCUCCGGAGUGGAGAUAAGUUACUAGAAGACCGUAUACUACCAACUGAAAUUCAUCUUCCUUGCCUAGGGACUUUUCUUAAUGUUCCCAAACUCCAACACUCGCCAACUUGCUCUAGAAAUGUAUACCUCUAAAUUUCGAUAAUCAAUUCGUUAAUAAUCAACGAUAAUCUUUGUAUCGUGAAAAACAGAAAAAUAACUAGCAACCUCCGAAGCUGAACACACCCAGAGAAAGUGUAAAAAAAAGAAAAGAAAAAGUACGCGGAUACGAGUAGACCUCAACGCCAAGAGUGAAACGGAAUUUUCCGCGGUUAGAUCAAUUAAGGGGAUUCCCUUUGGUAGCCACGAACUAAAUAUUCGUAUUAUUCGCUGUUUCGCGUGUUCGUUUUCCCCGAGUCGCUUGCAAGCCCGUAUCGCAACGACGAAUAGGAAGAAAGAGAGAAAAAAAAAGAUGAAAAGAGAAAGACAGUCUGUUUCUGAGGGAAUUCCAGGCAAACGUAAAUUUGCGCCAGCGCCAAGCACGACGGGAGAACCAUUUCCGCUUUCGAGGACUGACUUUUUUAUGUCGUUCUAAAUAAUAAUUAUAAUAAUAACGGUAAUGAUAACAAUAAUAAUAUUAAUAACAAUAUUGAUAACGAUAAUAUAAAAAAGAAAUAAUAAUAAUAAUAUAAUAAUAAUAUUAUUAAUAACGAUGCGCGUUCGAAUUGCUAAUAAUAAUAAUAAUAAUAAUAAUAAUAAUAAUACGUAUACUUUAAGCCAAUUGUUCCCCCGGCGUGCUUGGCCGUGUGUAUUGUUUUUCAUUUUUUAUAUUGUUUGCGAAGAUUUAUCGCGUCGCGGUGUUACCAGAUCUCGAGGAAGUAUCUUCGCACACGGAACACCCGAUCACAACGAUAAUUCCGUAUUUUAUUUACUAAUCCGAAGCGAGUGUACAGUCUGUUUAAAUGGAAAUCUGGGAAUGCUCCGACGUUAGGUUAUUUUUUAUUCGAUUUAACCGUGAAUGGAACUGUCAACGAGUGGUCGAUACCAACGUUACGAUUAUUCCACUAGACGUGGGAACCCCUGAAACAUUCUUUUAGACAAAAAGCUUCCGGUGUUAAAGAAUAUAUUUAUAGUCGUUGCCAACCUUCGAACUAUUCUAAACAGGGUAGCCAAUUUAAUUCUAGUUCCAAACACUCAACGGGUGCCCUUGUUACGUCGAAAGUCUGGGGACUUUAUUAUUUAAAAUUCAACAACGAUGAAAGCUAGUACAUGUCAUACAAAGGACCAUUGAAAACUGAGUCUGGCAUCUCGAGAAACCGUUACGGGACUCGUUGCCAAUCUUUAAACAAUGAAGCAGCGUAGCCAACUUGAUUUCAAUUCCAAAUAUUAUUAUUUAAAGCUUAAUAAGAAUUAGUAAACAGAGUUAGAUACACUUGUUAUAGAAUGAAGAACAGUGUAGCCAACAUGAUUCUGGUUCGAAAUACUCAGUGAUACCUAUGUUAUUUUUAUAGUCCGAGGGUUCAUGAUAAUACAGGGUGUCCCAAAAACGGUGAAGAUCAUUGAAAUGGGUGGUUCAAGAGGUGAUUUGAAACAACUUUUUCCUUAGCGAAAAUGUUGUCUGAGGCUUCGUUGAGGAGAUAUUAACGGAAAACACUGACCAAUCAGAGCGCGAGGCGGCCGCACUCCCCGACCAAUCAGAGCGCGAUUAUGCCGGUAGAGCGGUAGCGUAUGAGCGCGGCCGCUUGGCGCGUAUUGACUCGCGCUCUGAUUGGUCGGGGAGCACAGCCGCCUUGAGCUCUGAUUGGUCCGGGAGUGCGGCCGCCGCGCGCUCUGAUUGGUCAGUGUUUUCCGUUAAUAUCCCCUUAACGAAGCUUCGUACAACAUUUUCGCUAAGAAAAAAGUUGUUUCAAAUCACCUCCUGAACUACCCCUUUCAAAGUGUUCCAACAUUUUUGGGACAUCCUGUAUAGUGAUUUUUCUCUCGUUAUUUACCAUCGAUCACACGUUGACGUGCUGAGGGUGAUGUUUAAUAGCGAAACGAUAAAUCUUGCGUAAGUAAGGAAAUUGUAAAAGUAGGAAUUCGAACGUUACCGAUUCUGGCGACGAUUUAGUCGGUGUUAAGUCCACGCUAAUCCCGAGAGGAUGAUCGAUGGUGCUUGCGAUCGUCGAUCGAUUAUAAAUCAACAGUAGACAUAUAGUAGAGCGUGACAAUUUAAGAGAGGUGUAGUACUACCGUUGUUCCGUUGAUUGUUUUUCAUAGAUUUUAUUGUGCCGUGACCGCAUCGCGUGUUCUUGCUAAACGUUCGUUUACGUGCUGAAAGGUAACAAUAAACAAUCGACUUACCAACAAAUCCUCCAGCGAGCUUGUUAAAUGUUCGUAUUACCCGACUUUGGAUUAAUUUACGCCUGAAAUGAAAAACUAACUAGUCCCCCAUGGGGAAUUCUGGUGAGAAAACGUCCAUAUUGGGUUCCAGGGAUUUUUGUGAAACUUUCCAGAGGUACCAAUUCAGAGAUCGAAAGACAACUCAUUAAUUCGAUUCUAAAAUUUAAAAAGUAACUAGUCGCCCAUGGGGAAUUCUGGUGAGAAGUCGUCCAUAUUGGGUUCUAGGGAUUUUUGUGAAACUUUCCAGAGGUACCAAUUCAAAGAUCGAAAGACAACUAAUUAAUUCGAUUAAUCCCACCAAGUACACGUUAACCAAAAGUCCCUAGAAAUACUCUUCAAUUUUCUUUCCCUGGAAAAAAAUAAUUGAAUUUUAUAAAUCGUUCAUUUUUUCAAAAUUUCCAUUCCAACCUAAAAUUUCAUCAAAAUCCCCGUCUUUCUUUCGUUACUAUUCGAGCAUUAUACCAUACGAUCAUAGAAAAUAACAUAGAGGAUCGAUAGAGUCCAUAAUUAUUCGUGAAUCAGAAUUUAAAGACGUGAUCCGCUAUCUUAAGAAUAGUCUUUCUUUCCUGAAUCACGAAAGUACAACAGUGAAUCCAGUCAAUUAGGUGAUCUCCUAGAAUUUUUUCUACGAGCGUAUGGACAACGAUUCUAUUCCAAUUUAAUCGAAAUCGAUUAAUACCGAUGCUUAAUCAAAAAUUCGAAAAUUUCCAUAUAUUAUUCGCUAAAUUGUAACGAUAAGAAUCAAACGUGCCGUCUGUAGAAAGUUACGAACCGCCAUUUUCCGCGUCGAUAAAGUUAGGCAUCGAUACACCCGAGAAAAUAAAUUCCCUAGAAGAUCGAUCGGUAUUACGGCUCCCGUGUUUACCGACACCCACGAAAAUCCCGAAAAUGUUUUUUAAAACA